rnacentral:rRNA from 1 species
CCCUUAGAUGUCCUGGGCUGCACGCGCGCUACACUGAUGUGUCCAGUAAGCACCUAACCUCUUCCGAAAGGAACGGGUAACCUUUGCAAAGCACAUCGUGAUGGGGAUAGAUUAUUGCAAUUAUUAGUCUUGAACGAGGAAUUCCUAGUAAGCACAAGUCAUCAGCUUGUGUUGAUUACGUCCCUGCCCUUUGUACACACCGCCCGUCGCUCCUACCGAUUGAAUGUUACGGUGAGCUCUUCGGACUGCGCGGUCUGCAGUUUCUGCGUUCCGUGCGGAAAGUUGCGCAAACCUUAACAUUUAGAGGAAGGAGAAGUCGUAACA